UACGUAGGGUGCAAGCGUUGUCCGGAAUUAUUGGGCGUAAAGAGCUCGUAGGCGGUCUGCCGCGUCUGCUGUGAAAGCCUAGGGCUUAACUCUGGGCGUGCAGUGGGUACGGGCAGGCUAGAGUGCGGUAGGGGAGACUGGAAUUCCUGGUGUAGCAGUGAAAUGCGUAGAUAUCAAGUGGAACACCAGUGGCGAAGGCGAAUCUCUGGACAUUUCCUGACGCUGAGGCACGAAAGCCAGGGGAGCAAACGGG
rnacentral:rRNA from 1 species